rnacentral:tRNA from 1 species
CAGAGAGUAGUUUAUUUAAAAUAUUAAUUUUGGAGAUUAGUGAAAGGGUUUUCUCUCUCUCUGA